GUGCUCACUUCGGCAGCAUAUAUACUAAAAUUGGAACUAUACAGGGAAGAUUAGCAUAGCCCCUGUGCAAGGAUGACAUACAAAUUCAUGAAGUGUUCCAUAUUUUU